CAGCAGCCGCCGCGGUAACACGUAGGUGGCAAGCGUUGUCCGGAAUUAUUGGGCGUAAAGGGCUCGCAGGCGGUUUCUUAAGUCUGAUGUGAAAGCCCCCGGCUCAACCGGGGAGGGUCAUUGGAAACUGGGAAACUUGAGUGCAGAAGAGGAGAGUGGAAUUCCACGUGUAGCGGUGAAAUGCGUAGAGAUGUGGAGGAACACCAGUGGCGAAGGCGACUCUCUGGUCUGUAACUGACGCUGAGGAGCGAAAGCGUGGGGAGCGAACAGGAUUAGAUACCCGAGUAGUCCCUGUCUCUUAUAC
rnacentral:rRNA from 1 species